AGCAGCCUAUAAAUUCCAUAAAUUAAACAAAGUUUUAUGUAUUUUUCAUUUCUUUUCAGAAUGAUCAUCUCUAAGGGCCCCUGUUUCACGUUAAUUCCACUGGCAAAGCGUAACAGAGAAACAGCAGAAGAGGUUGUAAUGAAAACAAUUAAAGAUCUAUAACUCAGCAUCUGCUGGAUCUGACCAUUAGGAACGUCUAAAAGGAACUUUACUCUUUGUGGAAGGAUGGAUGAACCAAUAGAUAGAGGAGCAUGAUGAAGAAGAGACACCCAGCAAGAAACCUGCCUAACGACAGAAGCACAGAAUGAGUUCAUGCAUUAUUAACCAUAAAGAAUCCACACAGUAUGUAUAUCUAUAUUUCUGAGAGUGUGAGAGAUGGACCAUAUGUGUCCCACCCGUGG
rnacentral:lncRNA from 1 species